GUCGAAGGUGGGACUGGCGAUUGGGACGAAGUCGUAACAAGGUAGCCGUACCGGAAGGUGCGGCUGGAUCACCUCCUUU
rnacentral:rRNA from 2 species